UCUUGGUCAUUUAGAGGAAGUAAAAGUCGUAACAAGGUCUCCGUUGGUGAACCAGCGGAGGGAUCAUUACCGAGUUAUACAACUCAUCAACCCUGUGAACAUACCUAAAACGUUGCUUCGGCGGGAACAGACGGCCCCGUAACACGGGCCGCCCCCGCCAGAGGACCCCCUAACUCUGUUUCUAUUAUGUUUCUUCUGAGUAAAACAAGCAAAUAAAUUAAAACUUUCAACAACGGAUCUCUUGGCUCUGGCAUCGAUGAAGAACGCAGCGAAAUGCGAUAAGUAAUGUGAAUUGCAGAAUUCAGUGAAUCAUCGAAUCUUUGAACGCACAUUGCGCCCGCCAGUAUUCUGGCGGGCAUGCCUGUUCGAGCGUCAUUACAACCCUCAGGCCCCCGGGCCUGGCGUUGGGGAUCGGCGAGGCGCCCCCUGCGGGCACACGCCGUCCCCCAAAUACAGUGGCGGUCCCGCCGCAGCUUCCAUUGCGUAGUAGCUAACACCUCGCAACUGGAGAGCGGCGCGGCCACGCCGUAAAACACCCAACUUCUGAAUGUUGACCUCGAAUCAGGUAGGAAUACCCGCUGAACUUAAGCAUAUCAAU
rnacentral:rRNA from 1 species